UGGGGAAUAUUGGACAAUGGGCGAAAGCCUGAUCCAGCCAUGCCGCGUGUGUGAAGAAGGUCUUCGGAUUGUAAAGCACUUUAAGUUGGGAGGAAGGGCAGUAUGUUAAUACCUUGCUGUUUUGACGUUACCGACAGAAUAAGCACCGGCUAACUCUGUGCCAGCAGCCGCGGUAAUACAGAGGGUGCAAGCGUUAAUCGGAAUUACUGGGCGUAAAGCGCGCGUAGGUGGUUUGUUAAGUUGGAUGUGAAAGCCCCGGGCUCAACCUGGGAACUGCAUCCAAAACUGGCAGGCUAGAGUACGGUAGAGGGUGGUGGAAUUUCCUGUGUAGCGGUGAAAUGCGUAGAUAUAGGAAGGAACACCAGUGGCGAAGGCGACCACCUGGACUGAUACUGACACUGAGGUGCGAAAGCGUGGGGAGCAAACA
rnacentral:rRNA from 1 species